rnacentral:piRNA from 1 species
UCUCAGUCAUUCGAGGGAUAGGGUACAC